CAGCUCAUCUCCAGUCACCGGCUCUCCCUCACUCCGCAGCUCAUCUCCAGAUUUGUGUUGGUUAGUGUGGACUGAGGCUGCUUGUGGUUUUGGGAUUCCAAUUAAAUCCAUUCUUUCUUCACAUAAGAUUUGUGUUGGUUAGUGUGGACUGAGGCUGCUUGUGGUUUUGGGAUUCCAAUUAAAUCCAUUCUUUCUUCGCAUAAGGUUCUUCAACUAUGUCCGGAGAUUGUACCC